rnacentral:rRNA from 1 species
UACGAAGGGGGCUAGCGUUGCUCGGAAUUACUGGGCGUAAAGGGCGCGUAGGCGGACAGUUUAGUCAGAGGUGAAAGCCCAGGGCUCAACCUUGGAAUUGCCUUUGAUACUGGCUGUCUUGAGUUCGGGAGAGGUGAGUGGAAUGCCGAGUGUAGAGGUGAAAUUCGUAGAUAUUCGGCGGAACACCAGUGGCGAAGGCGACUCACUGGCCCGAUACUGACGCUGAGGCGCGAAAGCGUGGGGAGCGAACGGGG